rnacentral:rRNA from 1 species
AGGAUUCACGAAUAUGGGCGAGCUAAAAAUUUAUAUACUCUUUGGUAUAAAGGGAAAUAUUGUAGCAUUAAUAUUGUUAAAAAUGUUUUUAGGGGUGAAAGGCUUUCCAAGCUCAUGGAUAUCUUGAUAGGGGGGAAACAUAUUAAGUAUUUUUACAUACCGAAAAUGCUAAGGUUUUUGGUAAGUAUAAUAAUUUAGUUAUUACUACUUAUUUGAGUAAAUUCUAUAGGUUCAAUAUAUUUAUAAUAUAUUAAUAUUAGGUUAUACUUUUUACCCUCUAAUAAUUGGUAAUAAAAUAAAUUAGUUAAAAUGUACAUAUUAGUAUGGUAUAAGUUUUUAUUAAGGAACUCGGCAAAGAAAAUUUCGACUGUUUAUCAAAAACAUAGCCCUAAGUUAUUAUUUAUGGUUAUCCCUGCUCAAUGGAAAUCUAAAUAGCCGCAGUACCUUGACUGUGCAAAGGUAGCAUAAUCAGUUGGCUUAUAAUUGAAGUCUGGCAUGAAAGGGUUCACGGAAUUUGACUGUCUUAAAAAAAUGGUAGGAAUUUACUUAAUAAGUGAAAAUUCUUAUAAAAAGAAAUUAGACGAGAAGACCCUAGAAAUUUUUUUAGAUUAUCCAGUUGAUAUUUUGUUGGGGCGACAAGGUAACAUAUAACUUACUUAGCUUAAUAUGAAAAUAUUUAUUUGUAUAAAUAAAUUACUCUAGGGAUAACAGCACCAUUCAUAAAUUGAGUUUGUGACCUCGAUGUUGGACUAGGAUUUAUCUUAUUCAAAAAAUAAGCUAUUAGGCUCUGUUCGAGCUCUGAUUCCUACAUGAUCUGAGUUCAGACCGA